UACGGAGGAUCCAAGCGUUAUCCGGAAUCAUUGGGUUUAAAGGGUCCGUAGGUGGGCAAUUAAGUCAGAGGUGAAAUCCUGCAGCUUAACUGUAGAAUUGCCUUUGAUACUGGUUGUCUUGAGUUAUUAUGAAGUGGUUAGAAUAUGUAGUGUAGCGGUGAAAUGCAUAGAUAUUACAUAGAAUACCAAUUGCGAAGGCAGAUCACUAAUAAUAUACUGACACUGAUGGACGAAAGCGUGGGGAGCGAACAGG
rnacentral:rRNA from 1 species